rnacentral:rRNA from 1 species
UACGAAGGGAGCUAGCGUUGUUCGGAAUCACUGGGCGUAAAGCGCACGUAGGCGGAUGUGUCAGUCAGGGGUGAAAUCCCGGAGCUCAACUUCGGAACUGCCUUUGAUACAGCACGUCUUGAGUCCGAUAGAGGUGGGUGGAAUUCCUAGUGUAGAGGUGAAAUUCGUAGAUAUUAGGAAGAACACCGGUGGCGAAGGCGGCCCAUUGGAUCGGUACUGACGCUGAGGUGCGAAAGCGUGGGGAGCAAACAGG